rnacentral:lncRNA from 1 species
UUUUUUUUCUUUUUUUUUUUUUUUUUUUGUAGAUUAUCAUGUACUUCACUUUUUUUUAUUGAAUAUAUUUUGAAGUUUUAUUAAAUAUAUUUGAAAGUAAGAAUGUUGAAAGUGCUAAAAGGGGUUAAAAGUGUGUUCGGAUUAUAGAGAUGUUCGGAUGUACCUAUUGACUCAAGUGUUAUUUUCUUCUUUAAAAAAAAAAAUGAAAUUAUUGUUACAAGAUACCCCAAUAUUAAUUGUUAUUUGUUAAUAUAUAAUAAUGAAUACUAUAAACAAGCCAGAGAAUAACUAUUAUCUUUUACAAAACAUUAAACAAUAUCUGUUUUUUAGAUAUCAAAGAAUUAAAAUUCAAAUCACCAUCUACUUGAACAAUAACAUCAGUUAUAAAUUUAUGUUAAGCUAAAAUCACUAUUAGCACAUAGAUUUAUUAUUUUUCAGAGAUAACACUUAAAAAUCUUUAAAUAAAACUAUUUUGUUAGAGUAAAAAUCUUCUUAAAGCAUAUGUUUCUAUAGAAUUUAUUUUCUUUAUGAUGUGAACCUAUUUCAAUGUACAUGCAUCAUAAUUUUAUGCUUUUUUAACUAGAACACAUUUAGUAAUUAUUUUGUUUAUUAAAACUAGACCUCAAUACUACUUUCACCUCUAACUUUUUUUUUCUCCAAGAAAAUCAAGGCAUAGUUUGAAAACUAAAAGAAAUUAACUUUCAAAAACUUGUUUUUGUUUGAGGGAUUUGUUUGUGAUUUCAACCCUUGUAUUUAAGAAAAAUAAAAAUCACUAUCAUAUUACAUAAAAGGAAAAUAAACUUAAUUUUAAAAAACAAAAUAGUUAAAUGUUCCUUAGUUUUGGAAUGACUCAAAUCUAAACUUAUUUUGAUAUUUUUGUAGCUAAUCCAAAUCUAAACGACAUGUACUAAUAUACCACUAUCCCAACGAUUUUUUUAAUAAUUUUUAUAGACGAUCUUCAAUCAAAUAUCAGCUUUAAAAAAAAUUUAAAAAGAAAAGAAAAAUACAACGAAAAAUUGCAAUAUUAAAAUAUGAUAAUAAUAAUAAAUAAAAGAAAAAAAAAAGAUAGAAAUGAAGAUUGGAGGUAGAAUUUUUUUUUAAAAAAAAACAAUCUUCUCGGUAACAUUUUAAUCACCAUAGAAGUUCUAUCAAUAUUUAAUCACCAUAGAAGUUCUAUCAUGUGCUCUGCUGCUAUCCAUUCUACUAAUUCUUCUCGGCAACAUUUUAAUCUCUUUUACUUGACUUCAAAAUUGAAAUAAACACACUUAUGGGAAUAUUAUAAUAUUGUUGCUUAUAAAUAAUAUGUGCCUCUCUCAUUUCCAACAUGAUGUUUUUUAUGUUGUUGAAUUUGAGUUUGCAAAGAGUUAGACAUAUAUAGCGCUUUUAUACUUGUCUCCUGCCUAACCAGCCCAAUUUCCUCUUUAGACUUCUUCCAUAAUUCCUGUGCUUUAGGGCAGUGGAUGUAGGCGUGGUCUUCAUAUCCCCAUUUGCUGAUUUUCAUGAUACACACCAAUUGGGCUUUCGGCAUAAAGUCAGAAGUCUUUUCUUUAUAAUUUUCAUCGUGUUCAAAUGUGAGUUUGUAUUAUUAGGUAUAUAGUGUAUGCUCUAGUUUAUUCUAUUGCACAAUAUUUAUUAACAUUAUAUUUUUAUUUUAAUGUGGUCAAGUUGGAGUUUAGUUAGCAUUAAACUUCUAAGAUCUAAUUUCCUUUUUCCUUUUUUUUUUUUUAAAAAAUGAUACAUAGAUUAACUGGUACACCCGAACAUCGUUAUUAAAUGGACAUCUCUUAACACUCUCAUCAUCUUCGUUUCAAUAAAAUCAAACGGUCAAUACAUGAAUUUAAUUUUUCCCUUACACCCAAAUAGACUAAAAAUAGUAGUUUGGAACUCUAAUUAGAAUGUGGUUUUUGCCUUUAAAUUUUAUAAAAGAGCUCUUGACCAAUUAAUUAAUUUUCUAUAUAUUUGUUUGUGCUCAUUUAAAAUUUAAAAAAGAGUUAUUUAUGUGUUAUAUGUACCAUAUUCUAAUAAUAUUUAUAAAAUAUAACAAAAUGUUAGAUUCUAUAUAUGUACUUUUACCGGUAUUUAGUAUUUAGUGCAUUGAUAUACAUGACCAUAAAAGAAGAAAUGAUGCUCAAACAUGGUCAAAGUUACAUGUUAAAAUAGCAAAGAUAGAGGUAGGGUGAAUUAAACCAAAUCAAGAAGAUUUUUAAUUCUUAUAAUAGAUAAUGCCUCUCAUUCUAGGGUCAUCCUAGUUUGAAGCAGUCGGUUUCUUCUUUUAAAAAAAAGUUUGAGAAACAUUUAUUAAAAACUGAAAACUAAUGGAACGGAUAUAUCAAACAUGCAUACUUUCUUAACAAAUGGAGAAACAGAAAUAUCAACAUUAUCAAACAUACCUUAGAACGAUAAUAUUAACGAUAAAUGCAAUUUUUCUAUAAAAAGUUUACAGGUCGGAUUUUCAUAAACACCACAAAAUUAAAUUGAGCUAAUAGAACUUAAGAGGUCUAUCAUGGACCUCCAAAAAUAAAUAUAUAUUUGUUGGUCAAAAUUAACUUUCAAAGUUAUUAUUAUUAUUUAACCAAUUUUGUAUAACAAUGGACUUUGAGAAAUCUAAAUCUACCAUUCCAAGAAAAAUGUAAAUUCUUCAUAUGGUCUCUUCUUCUACAUGAAUGUAUCAACACCACUGAAAUCUUACAGAAAAGACUUUUAAAGUGGAAUUAAUAUGGAUCCUUUCUGGUGUGUGCUUUGCAAAUCUAAGGAAGAAGAUAGGAAUCACCUCUUCAAUACAGAAAAGACUUCCCAACAUACUUUCAAAUAAUAUUUUAAGUUUUAACCAAUUUUUCUUAUUUGAACAUGAUCUGUUCAAUAGGUUGUACAUGUUUGUCUUUGAGUUCUAAGUAGUAGUAGUAAUUAAUGCAGGAAAGAAUAAUUGAGCUGAACAAAAAAUCUUGCCGGACUUAAAUUUACGAUUAUAUAUGCCGUUUGAUGGUUUUUAUCUGUCAACUAAACAAAAAAAAAAUCGAAAAUUUACUUUUUUGACGGAAACUUGUGUGCUUUCCUGUCAACCAGUGUGUUUACAUGUACAUAUGUAUGUGUCCACAUAUGAACCACAAGCUGGAGAGAAACUCGAGUGAAGAAAUUAUAUAAGUAUCAUUUAUUAAUGUAUAAACCUACAAAAAUUUAUAACAUGAAUCAAUUAACAGUUUUAAUUAAAUACACUUCUACAAAUUUGACGUUUCUUGAUGCAAACAAAUUUUGAUUUUUGAUGGUCAUGACAAAGAACCAUGAAAAAAAUAUUUUUCUUGAUACAAUGUUUAUCUUGACGACGGUUAUAUAUGUCCAGAAAAGUUCCUUUAUUUUAUUAAAGAAAUACGAAAAAAAAAGUAAAAAAAUGUGAAUUUUUUAUUUUCUUGAUGGGCAAACUUCCCUUAGUUUUGUUGAUGGUUCACGAAUGUUAAGAAAACUAUUUAUCGAUGGACAAUAAACACCAAAGAUAAUAUAUUAGUUGAUUGACAAUGCCCAUCAAGUUAGAUAGGUUUUCUUGAUGGAUGAGGCUCAUUAAGGAAUAAUUUUUUUUUAUUUGCAAUGACUAUCAUCUAAAAAAUAUAUAUAUAUAUUUGUUUUGAAUUUCUUGAUGAGUUUAGAAUUUUCUUGAUAGGUCUAGGGUUUCUUGAUGGACAGAGAAAAAAAAAUUCAUGGAUAAGGUCAUAGGCAAGACCCAUGAAGAAAAUGAUAUCUAGAUGGACAUUGCUCAUCAUGAAAAAAUUAUUUCCUACGAAGCAUGUAAUUCAUACCCUCGUUAACUGGCUCAAAAUUUCGAUAUUCAUCAAUAAUAUUAUUCAAACUUUACUAUUUUUUUAAAUUAUUACUAUCUAUACAUCAAAUAUACAAUAUUACUUUUUAAAAACUUAACCGUUGUAAUUAUAAUUAAACUGAAAUAAGUGACUUUAUCAAAAUUAAAUUUGUUAUUAUAUUCAACUUUAAUGAGUUGAAUUGAAAGUUUGUAAUUUAGGGUUUUUAAAUUUUGUAGAAGUUGUAGAACACGCGCUUAACUCAACUGACACUUGUAUAUAUCUAUGGACAAUAGGUCGGAUAUCAAUGUUACAAUUGUUAGCACAAUCCUCAUUGAGGAGGAAAUCAAGAUCAUGAAUAUGCCCAUUAGCACGAACCUAAGGUGAUCAGAGUGAGAAAAUAAAAGGAAAUCUAUUUUUUUCUCAUAAAAUAGAAAAAAAAGAAUAGUUUUUUAUUUCAUGUUUUGGCCAUCAAGAAAACGAUUUUUUUGAUGGAUUUUUCAGUUUCCUUGAUGAGCAAAAAACAUCAAAGUCUCAUUUCUUGAUAGUCAAUACCAUCAGAAAAAGUUUUUAAUGACAUGUUUUAGUUUUCUUGAUCAUUGAGCUUUUUUGAUGUCUGCCUACUUGAUGGACAAAGACCAUCAAGGUAAACAUCUUUUCACGUGCUUUACAUAUCAAGAAUGCCAAAUUUAUAGUAGUGAUAAAAGUUCAUUAACACCCUAAUGUCGACCAUUAAUAGUAGUUUGUUUUGGAGGAGUUGGUCACUCUCCACCACCGAUCGGUUUUUUUGUUAUUAUUAUUAUUUGGCAAACUAAACUAAAAAACAUGUGAGAGAGGAAGAAAAAAAUUAGAAAAAGGAAAAAGAAAAGAGAGAGAAGAAGAAAGGGGAAGGGAGAGGAAAAGAAGCUGAAAGAAAGAAAUUGGAGGAAAGGUUCAGAAAAAAAAGAAAUCAAAAUAAAGUAGAUCAAAAAAAUUUUAAAACCCAAAAAUAAAAUAACAAUUUUAACCUUGGAACGUAGUUAUCAAGAAGUUGUCAUCAUCGUAUGGAAGAUAAGUUGGAAUGCCUUCAAUUUGUACGUGGCAAUGUCUCCAAAAGCUCUCUAAUUUUAUUAAUUGAGCACAUGUAUUUGUUUAUUGAUUAUUUACAAUUUUGAUCCUAAAAUUUUAAAAACUAUAAUAUAUAAAGGAGUAUUUUCUAAAAUAGAAAAAUAAAAUAAAAUAUUUAUCGACUAUAGCAAAAUUUUAGAUUCUAUCAAUAAUAAAAACUGAUAGACUUUUAUCACUGUCUUUCCAUGCCACUAAUAAAAACAUAUCGUCAUUGUCUAUCAAUAUUUAUUAUUCAUGGAAUCUAAAAAUUUUCUAUAUGUUAUAAAUAUAUUUCGUCAAAUUUGCUAUUUUGACAGUUUUCCGUAUAUAAACUCUCAAACCAAGGUGCUAUGGUUUUGUAUUCUAAAAUAUUUUUUUUUAAUAAUAUUUCUUUUCUCUCUACCUCUUAAACGUAGCUAACACAAUACUAUUAGUGAACCAAGUACAUUGGUGUGUUGAUUAUCUUUACGUUUUUGUUUUGUAUUGCUUAAUUGUUGAUUUCCUAAUUGACGAGGGUGUUAAAGGAGUAUCCACCUAGUAGAGAUAUUCGAGAACACCCAACUGAUCCAAUCAUAUCUUUUUUUAUAUAAAAAAAAAUCAUUGAUUUCUUAACAGUGUAUAUAUGGUUGUCAUAUCUUAUAAAUCGAUCUUCUUUUCCUUAUUUAGCUAACGUAAAACUUUUUUUUCUUGGCAGUCUUCCCAAAGUCGAUCCUAGUCCUUUUAUCGUUAAUUACCUAGGUUAUGUUUGUCGGUGAUCUUGAUCUUGAGUAGUUGUUUGGUUAUUUAUAGUUGUGGUACUACAAGCCAUGGAUAUAUAGUGGUAUUUUUAGUUUGUCACGUGAGGAGAAUCCAAACCACUUUUUUUCAAUUGAAGGGUGUCCUAACUUAUUCGAUUGCAUGCAUAAAAUGACAACCGUUGAGUUAUGUUAAAUCUAACAAGUUCUUUGGUUUAUUUAACAUGUGAUGGCGUAACAAUUUAAAUUUGAUUUUUUCAUACGUUUGUAUAAAUAUAAAAGAAAAUUUUCAUCUUGAGUUAAGGUAAGAUUUUGUUCUAAUUGGACAGACCAUAUUGAGUGUAAUCUUGUGUUAUAUUUCAUUUUCGUUAUUAAGUAUUUUUAUUACCAUUUUCAAACAAAUCUGCUGUUUUUUUCUUUUUCUUUUUUUUAAUAGGGGAGAAUUGAACUUCAAACUUAAUAUAGAUACUAUACAAAUUAAAAUAUGUUCAUUUGGAAGCCGAGGGACUUGUAGGAGAAGGGAAGAAGGGUGGAGGAGAGAAGACUCUUUUUUUCAACUCCCUUGUACAUAAUCCAUUUCUACACGUUAAGCUCAGUUCAUGGUUUUAAUUAUUGGGAUAAUUAUAAUUUGUGAUAAUUUUAUAAAUAAUAAUUAAAUAUAUAGCAAUAUUUAGAAAAAAAUUAUCAAUAUAGUAAAAUAUAUCCGUGAUAGACCUAUAUCACUAAUAUUCUAUCAAUGAUAGGUCAAUAUUUGCAACAUAGUCUACCAAUGACUUCUAUAAUUGAUUAUUAUUAAUAAACUUUGACAGAUUUUUCUAUAUUUGUAAUUUUUUUAAAAUGGUGAUAUAUAUACUAAAUUAUAUUGAAUCUAAUCGUUAUAUUUGCAACUAUUUUUUAAUUAUUUUUAUAUCGAUCUACGAAAAACUCAUUUAAAAUAUAGAAAAAGAUUACAACAAAACUCUUCCCCGUACAAGAAAAAUUAAAUUCUUAACUUCAUUUUGAAAAAAAAAACAAAAAACAAAAUUCUUAAAACUACUUUUUCUUUUUAGGAUUUUUAAAAGAAAAGGGUAACUCCCUAGUUUGAAAUUUGGAUUUUGAAAACACAAAGUGAAAAAACAUUUAUAGGUAAAAAAUUAAGUUUAUAAGGUUAAAUUUACGGCCAUCGAAAACAGAAAAAAUUCAAAUGAUUAUCAACCAUACCCAAAAAAAUUUUUCAAAGAUCCAUGGGAAGCUAAUACUUUAGAACGUGUUUUCAAAUAUCUCAAGUGUACGUUUAAUCACUAACCACCCUCGACCUAAAUCAUCAACAUGAUUAUCAUAUGGAACUUUUAACCAAAUCCAAGUUUAAACACAAACUAAUUGAUCAAUAUGUUUCUCAUUGUAAGUAACUUCCAGAAGCAUCCUUGAAAUUUUAAAACCUGAUAAUCAAGUAGAGAAUUAAUUUGCAAAAAGGGAAGAAUCAUCUUCCUCAAUUCUACAAAGUUCCAAUGAAUAUGGUCCAAAAGCACUUUUAACAAAUUAAAAAUUGUACUAACGUCUAAUGUUUAUAAAUGCUGUAUGAACAAGUCGUUCCACAUAUUGGCCAGUCCCGACAAGCACCAGUGCAUACAAUCGUCGUGCUUCUUUCCACCAGUUGAGGCAGAAUGUGCAUCUGCCCUCAACUCACUCAUGGGAGUUAGUGUUCAAAAUAUGAAAACUAAUGUCAUUGAGAGCCUUGAAAAGGUGCUCAUUUACAAGUCGAACCUCGACAUUGGUUCUGUUAUUCAUCAGUGAGAACAGAUCCUCUGUGAGCUAUUAAUCCGUCAUGAUCUUUCUAAAUAGGCAGAAGAAGUAGUUCACACAUUGUGUUUUAUAUAUUUAUUGUUUUGGUUAUUUAUUUUUUAAUUCUCUUCAAAAUUUCAGCAUGCACUAAGUUAGUGGGUCGCUAAUUUUUUUUUGUUAAUUUUUAGACUAUAAAUAUUAGUCCAUUAAUUGAAUGAAAAUAACAAGUUCCAUUAUUUUUUCUUCCUUUUGACAAUAUAUUUUACAAAAUAUCUAUCUUGUUUUAUAUGUUUUCUUCAGGUAGAGUGCGUGAGAAUUUUAGAGAUCUUUUGUUUUAAAACCACCAACCUCCGCCCGAAAAGAAAAACUUAACUUCUAGACAAUUCACUUCAUUAAAAAAAAGUAAAGGAAGAGGUCAAAAUAAUAAAUUUAAGGCUAAAUUAUCAAAGUACCAGUAAACUUACCCAGUCAUAUCAAAUGCAACAUAAUAAUAUUUUCUUGUACCUCUUGUACAAAUUUCAAAACUACACUUAAAGUAUAAGUCUUAUACAAUUUUGAAUGUAUAGUGGGACCUGAAAGAGUGUGGUCGUAGCCUACAUAAUAUGGUAAUCCAAAUUUUGUUAUCAAUCACCACAACAUCAUGUCUCAAUUUUCUUUUGAUAAUUACCUAUACGGUGUGGCAAUUUAGGCAUUUUCCAACGCAUGUUUGGAGUGAACAUGUUGAUGAAAAAAAAAUUUAGCUCAGUAACCAAAACAGUAUUGGAGGCCCGAACCUUUAACUAUUUUUUCAACGUUACAAAAAAAAUUAGUAAUAAUAACAAACAAGCUAACAAACUAUGUACGUAGCUUAUGUUAAAACGUAUCAAAUACUUUUGUUCAACUUGAGAAAAUAUUAGGUUUAACUUAUUCUCCAUCCCUUUACCGUUAAAUAAGAACAUCAAUGUGAAAAUAGACAGUAUUUUAUUUAACAUAUAGUGAUCGAGUUGAUUGCACACCGAAUAAAUUCUUUCUUUUACAUAGAAGAAUUGUAGGGUCUUAAUCCUAUAUAGUUGCCAGGAGGAUCAUAGUUGCAUACAACGAACUGGGAUUUUCCUUUACAAGGCACUCUUGCACAUCCAAGAUGCACAGAGGUUCGCCACACCACUUGUGUAUAGUGUCCACAGUCGCCACCCUUGCAUGAGUUCGAUGCAUAGUCAUAUAAAUGCUUUUCUCCCACCCAUAACUUUACGCCAUCCGCACCGGUGAACUCGGGGUAGAAGCCUAUGGCUAUGUUUUCACCGUAUGGUCCGGUAGAGUGAACCAAGGCACAGUCAUUUUUUCUUUUGUUGGCGUAGGAUUGAGCGUAUGCAGCGACAGUGUUGUCCCAUGUCAUUGGACCGACGCCGACUGCCGCUCGAGCUUUGUUGUGUAGGGAAAUGUAGUCUUGAGGGGAGUUUUGGGCAUGUGUUAGGACGAAGAGGAACAUGAAAGUGGGAAAUAAAAUUGCCAUUAGAGGGUUUUGACUUUGAGUUCUCAUUUUGGAUAUGUAGAAAAUGAAGAGAAUCAUUAUUUUUAUAGAGAUGAAGAAUUAAAUAUGGAAUGUGAUGAACGAGGAAGAAAUUUAUUUGAAACCGUCCAUAUUUUUGCAUUUUGUUGCCCUCUAUUUAUUAACCUCUGUUUAUUUCCUUUUUAUUCUGUUUUAAUUUGUUACAUUAAUAUACAACUAAGGACUAACAAUGCCAUGCAUAUGAUGAGUUUGAAUGUCAAAGAUGUUAAUAGGAAUUGGACUGCAAUUUUCGAUGUUUAAUUACCCAUUUUUGGUUGAAAUAUUAGUUCAAUGAAUUUCAUAAGUUUUAGUUUUUGUGUGUUUUUACCCUUUAAGGAUGGAAGAAUAUAAUAACAUAUUGCAAUCUUGGAGGUAGGAAUUUGAACUGCAUUCACCCUAUUAACUGAGAAGUUGAAUGUCCCUUACCCACAUGUUAUUGAACUAAACAAAAAAAUUUACCUUUAACUAAUAAAAUAAAACAUUGUUUUUUUGUCUUCCAAAAAUAGUUUUCCUUACGAGUUUAAUAUAUGUGAACGUGAGGAGAAUUCAAACUAUUUUAUCUCUUAAUUGAAGAGUGUGUUAACCUAUUUAGCUGCAUAGGUUGGCAACUAUUGAGUUAUAUGUGUUAAAGCUAACAAGUUUUUUAGUUUGUCACACAAGUAGAAUUUGAACCACUCAUUUCUUAAUUGAAGAAUGACUUAAUCUAUUCAAUUGCAUGCAUAAGUUGACAAUUAUUGAGUUAAGUCAAGACUAACCAGAUUUUUAGUUUAUUCGACAUGUGAUGGUGCAUAGCAAUUUAAAUUUGAGUUUUUCACACGUUUGUAUAAAUGUUGUGGAAAGUCCUUUCAUGACGAUUUUUAAAAACUGUCACAAUAAGUUUUUUCAAGACAGAAAAUAAAAUGUCAUUAAUUACUAUUUUAUGACAACAAAUAACUGUCAUCAUUUCCAUAUUAACGACAGUUACAAAAAUAUCACGAAUUCAUUUAUUGUGAAAUUUUUUAUCUGUCAAGGAUAUAUCAAUCGUGACAGUUUUUUUUAUAAAAGCAAAUGUCAUUGUUUCGUUAUUGACGACAAUUACAAAAUGUCACGAAUUCGUAUAUUAUGACAUUUUUUCUUGUUCUUCUUGCCGCUCUACUAUUACACUAACCAUUUCAAUGACAAUAAUGUUUUAAUACAUCACACCUAUAUGGAAAAAAAAUAGUCGACACUUUAAUAUAUAUACGCUAUAAUACACUUUGUAAUAUUCGUACACCUCUUUACUAAUAACCAUUUUUUGUUAAAAGGUAGUUUACAUAUACAAAAAGAAUCAACAUUAACAUCUUUAGGUACCAACAAGCCUAAAAUCAAUACAUUAUAUUGGAACCAAGAUUUUUCUACCAACCAUACAAAAAGUUCUAUAUCAAUCUAUUGCUUCAUGUUGGCUUCACUGCUCCAAUGGAUUCUUCCAAAUCUAGUAAGAAAAAAAAAUUUCAUUUGAGAGUAUGACUAAAGAACAUUACCUAAAAGAAUGUUCUAUUUAAAGCUAAUUAAGGCAUAGUGAAAAUGACACACAACAAACGAGAAUCAAGUUUGAAACAAUUUACUUUCCAAUAAAGUUUGAAAUAAUUCACAAGUACAUCAAAAACACAAAGUACGGAUUUCCAACCCUUAAUCAAAACAGUGAAAGUGGAACACACAAAAUAUAUGGGUUGAUACACAUCCACCGCAAAUAUACAGGUCCACAAAGCUUUACUUCUCUCACAAGAUGAACGACAAGCUGAACCAUACCUCUUUGCUUAUGAUUUAACUGAUUCAUUGUUGUCACUUGUCUUAAGUUCUAUGGUGGUCAAGAAAAUAACAAAGAACAUUAUAAUGAUUAUCAUCUCAUGGAAUGAUUAAGGUCCUUGGUCAAGGAAUAAAACAACAUUGAUGAAGGAUCUCCUAAACAAAUCUGAUGCCACCUUUGUCAUCAUGUAAGAAUCUAAAGCAUAUUGACUGUCAUAUCAAAUCUAUAUGGAGCUCGAGGAACAUUGCUUGGACCUUUUGGAUGGCUAUUAACAAAGCUCGUGGUGUCCUCAUCAUGUGGAUUGAUCCACCAAGACAAGCAAAUAAGUAUCACUGACACAAUAACUUUUAACUUUCAUACUCACUAAAGAAAACUAUAAAUAAGUGUUCGAUAAGAGAACAUUAAACCAAUGUCAAUCAAAGAGGGAGGCUAAUCAAAUAUGGGCAACAAAUUUUACUAUUAUUUUAACCUUGGAACACAUCCUAUUGGAGAUAUGUUGGAAUAUGCCUUGAAUUUGUAUACGGCAAUGUCUCCAAAAGCUCUUCAAUUUUAUUGAUUGAGCACAUUUACUUAUUUAUUGAUUAUUUAUGAUUUUGACCCUAAAGUUUAAAAAAAAAAAAAUACAAUAUAUAACUCAAAGCAACUUUGCCUGAAACUGAAUAUCAAAUGGCAUUUGAAAAUGCAGACAAAUCACGGAUGCUAGUCUAAUUGCAAAUGAAGCUGUGGACUAUUGGAGAAAUAAAAAGAGUAAAGGUUUCGUUAUCAAACUCGAUAUUGAAAAAGCUUUCGACAAAAUUAGCUAGAGGUUCAUUGAUUUCAUGCUUACGAAGAAAAAUUACCCUAAACUUGGAGGAAAUGGGUGAAAGUGUGCAUCUCUAGUGUUUAAUACUCUAUCCUCAUUAAUGGAAGACCAAGAGGCAAAAUUUAUCCCAGUAGGAGUCUCAGACAAGGUGACCCUGUAUCCCCUUUGAUCUUUGUUGUAGCCAUGGAUUCUCAAUAGGCUUCUUACAAAUCUGAAACAAAAAAAUAAAAUCAAAGGGGUCAAGAUCGGAGAGGCUUUCAAUCUUACACCCAUACUAUUUGUGGAUGAUAUACUACUCUUUGUAGAAGACCGCGAGAAUAUCUCUAAUCUCAUAGAUGUCCUACACGUCUUCGAAGACACACCAAUUAAAAUUUCUCUCUUAUCUUAGUAAAGCUAUAUAUAUUUGUAGGUCUGAAUUAUAUAAGAGAAGUAUACCAAUUAGAUUCCACAAAAAAAAAAAAAAAAAAAAAAAAAAAAAAAAAAAAACUAAUUGAUAAAUUUAGUUGAAAGGAGUAAUGGAAUAUAUUAGACAAUUAGUAUAGAUUGAGACUUUGUGGACUGAAAGGAAGCAGAAAACUUUUCAUAAGUAACUAGAAAGAAAAUGUGUUCUUGAGCAGUAGUCGAAGGUUACGUUCCAUGUGAGGAUCCAGAAGAUCCACAUGUGAAAGGUGCAAUAGCAGAAUGGGCAUUAAUAAAAUACCACCAACUAGGUUCAUCACUUGAUAUUGAUUAGUAUACUGAAGUGUGAGUCACAGGUGGUGAUGGAGUGUGAAUUCGCGCCUUGCGUUGAAGGCUAAGGAUCACAAACAUCAUGAUGAAAUUGGUAACUAUGAGGCUGUUGUUUCGGAGAAGGCAUGGGAGCAUUUCAAGGAGCUCACUUCCUUUAAAAAACUCUUGUUGGAAUGAAUAAAUAAUAAACGUCGUCCAAACUCCCUACUUUUCUACUUCUUGCUUUUAUUCAUAUAUAUAUAUAGAUAAAUAUAUUAUGUGUACUCCCCUUUAUGAUCAAUAUAUAAAAAUAAUGGGAUAAUAAAAUGAAAACUACCAUACUUGGUAUUGAUCUCUAUAUGUUUUUGCAUUUCUUUUCUUCUAUUUUAUUAUGCAUGUCUCAUAUGAUAUGAUAAAGUGUGAUUGAUUAGACUAAGAAUAAUUAGCGUCUUCCACAAAUUUAUGAACUUUAACAAAUACAAGGAAAUGAAAUAAAGGAUGAUUGUACUUUCAAUUAAUCUUUUAUCUAGCAUAAAAAAAUAUUACAUUUAGGACACAUAAACGAUUGCGACAAUAAAUUGGUGUUCUGAAUCGAAUCAGCUUUUUUUUUUUUUUUUAAUUAUCAUAUUUCUACCGCCAUUGCUUUGAACUGGAGAGGCUUUCUUUAAUUUCUUAUUGCUCUCUGCUUAUGACUGAUCUUUUUUUUUUUUUGAGUUUGUUCUUCGUCUGCUUCUUUUGUGAUAUAUUAAUGGACCUGCUUUAGGAUUGAAGUAUUGACGAGCUUUCAGACAUAUAUUCCCAAGCACAUAAACGUAUAUAGAAACACAGAUCAUCAUGUCAACACUAAGUUGAAAAUAAGUUACGAACCAAGCAUAACAGUAUUUUUUUUUUCAAAAAGAAAAGAUUCCUUGGGUCAAUAGGUACACCAUGGUAUCUUACCCCUUAGCACCAUCAUCACUCCUACUAUAUUAAUAAUAAGAGAUAAGUACAAGAGGCAAGAAAGUACAAAAAUAGCUAGAGUGAAGCCCUCGUAGACUGAGAACAAGAAAUCAAAAGGCAUUGAGGUUUAAUGUUAAGAGAGAUCCUCUAUUGUCAAUUAUACAAAAAGGCCCUCUUGCCUCAAUCAAAACCAGUGGAGAUCCUUAGGAUUGUAUCUAAGUGGAAGCACAAGUUGAUUUAGAUAUAAUUUUAAACACAUCCAUGUGAUAUAUUGAAAUCAUAUAAUUUCACCAAAACGAGAAAAAUUAAAUGAUAGUGGAUAGUGAUCAACAUUUUUUCUAAAAACAUAAUAUGACUACUCGCUAUUCAAAAUUGAAAAUUUAAGGUUGAAGCUUCAGUUUUUUUUUUUAAAUGAUACAUGGGUCAAUAGCUGCACUCCAAGAAUUUAAGAUUCAAUUAGAAAAAAAAAUUGAGCUUUUUAGAUACUAAAUUGCAACUUCAUAUAUUAAUUAGACAUUUUUUAAGUUGCUUAUUAAAAUUAAAAUUGAAAAUUUAGAUAUUUAUUAGUCAUAAUAUAUUGUGGUAUUUUCUUUUUGAAAAAAAAAUACAUUGGGUGAACAGAUGACCUGCAGGCAUCUCCACUAGGUGGACACUCAUUUGACACAAUCAUCAUUCUCGCUUCAUUAAUUACUAUUUUAUGACAAUAAAUAAUAACUGUCAUUUUAUUUUAUGACAACAAAUAACUGUCAUCAUUUGCAUAUUAACGACAGUUACAAAAAUCCAGAUUUCCAAUUUCUACCCCCAAAACACAGGCAUUUGUAAUACCCACGCAUCAGAAUCAUGCAGGUUCCAAAUCAAAUGCCUGAAAAUUAAAUGCUUGUGAGCUUAUUUGGUAGGGUAUGAUGUCUGGAAAUGGGUAAUCUGUAUUUUUAAUGCUUGUGUUUAAGGUGCUGGUUUUGAAUUCUUAUGCUUAGCUAAUCUUUUUUUUUUUUUUUUUUGUCAAUUGUACAAUCUAAAUUUAUCAUGUAUAAAUAUUUAAUUGACUUUUUUAAUAUUUUGUACAUAUAAUUUGAUUUCUUGACUUAUUGAUUUUCAUGACAAUAAUGUAAAAACAAAAAAGUUUAACCUUCAAUAACAAUAAUUUUGAUUACAGUUGCAUUAACAUGGAUGGUCUAAUUAGGAAUGUUACAAACUAUUCACAAAAUAUAACAAAUUAUGUACUCGGGUAGAGUUUACAAAAGUUUCAGUUAAGCAAAACAUUAAAAAAUGCCUAAUAGCUAAGUUUCAAAAUAAGCAUAACAAAAGGGUCAUGCGAAAUAGAAAGUCAAAUAGAGUUACAUUUAGUGAUAAUUAUGAUUGCAUUCCAAAGAAAAAAAUGAGUUUAUUUUUUAUCAAGAGAGUUACAUCUGUACAUGCAAUGUAAUAUUUAAACUUCUUUUAUCAAGAGAAUUUAAAUAAAAAUGAGUUUAUUUUUAAAAAAUAUUUUUUUUCUUAAGUGAAUCCAAAUUUAAAUAAGUCACAAGUCUUCUAGUUAGAGUGUCCAAAGAAAAAAAGAAUAAAAAAUGUAUAUUUAAAUCAUAUUUUAUAUGGUAGACAUAACAUAUUCUUAAAUUUUAAAAUUAUGUAUAAUCUUGUGUUUUAAAAUUUAAUUAUGUGUCAAAUAUAUUCAAUUUUUUAAGCUUUUACUAUUUAUUUUCUUAAAGUUUUACUGUGGAAGGGGUUUAUAUUUUUUCCAUACAAAAAAUGAUAAAUACAUAGAUGAAAAGAAAAGUUCUAAGAGAAAUUUUCAAAAAUAGCAAAUUUGACAAAAUAUUUACAAGUUAUAGCAAAUUCUAUCAUUGAUAGUCAUUAAUAUGUUAUAGUGAUAGAAUCCAAAAUUUUGCUAUAUAUUCUAAUUUAUUUUGCUAUUUUUAAAAAUGUCUGAAGUUCCAAUGUGUUCAUUUAUUUUUAUUUAUUGAACCAAAAUGUACCAUUUUCUAUUUUUUAUUUGAGUAAUAAAUAAAUUCUUUUUUAAUAAGAAAUUAUACUAACUAUUUUGACUAAAAAAAUCUUAUUUAAUACAUAAAAUUAUAAACAAAUUUUGAAUCUUUUUUAGUCAAACCAACUCAAAUUAUUUCAAUAUCUAAUUUAAUUGACUUGUAAUACAAAAAUGAUAGUAAUAAUUUUAAAUUGGAAGUGAAAUUACUAGUUUAAAUUUUAGAACUAAAAUUAAAAAAAAAAAAAAAAAACUCUCAAUUUCAAUAUCCAAGGCCACACAAACUUCUUAUAAAAUCAAACAAACUCAACUUUACAUUCCAAAUUCCAAACACAGACAAUUAUUGUUACCAACAAUCAACUUCACUCUCCACGAUCCCAAAUACAAACAAUAACAAUUAUCAACUUAAUUAACCCCACGACAUUGCACCCAAGAUUUAUGGUAGUGCAAUUAAGUAGGGAUAGCUUUUAUUUUACUAUCACCUUAUAUAGAUGGACCAUAAAUGGGAGUACACCAGUCCACACAUAAUAUAUUCAUUAUUCGGCCAAUAAGAGUUGCUUAAAGAAAACGAGCUCCUUGAGAUGCUCAGAUAGUUGCUCGUAGACAAUAGCCAUAUAGUUUCCGGGUAGACAAUUAUCGGAUUCAUCCUUAGCCGUCAAGGUAAAACGGUAGUUGACUCCAUUCACAAUUUGCGACUCACACUUCAAUAUACUAAUAAACCUCAAGUGCGUCCCUUCUUUUUUGUUGUGCUCUGCUACUGCCCAUUCUGCUAAUUCUUUCAUGCGUGGACUUUGAGGAUCCUUAACUGGAGUAUAGCCCCCAGGCUCUGAAGAAGCCAUCUUAGAUCUUUUAUUCACUUGUAAUAUUGACAAACUUAUUACAAUAUGGAUGCUUUUAACACGUAUAUGUUUUGAAACUUUGGUAUUUAUAAUAACUCCAGUUUAUUCGUAUUCCAACUACUCCUUCCUUUCAAAUAAUACAUAUUUGGACAGUAGACAAUAAAUAAUAAUAAUAAAAUAAAAAACCCUCUUUCAUGUGCUUUUAAUUAAAUGGACAAUGUAAAUUCAACAGAAUUAUUAACAAAUGAAACUUGGGUUACUAGUCAAUUAAAAAAAGAAAUAUUUUAUUUUAUUUGGAUCAAUUUGAGUUAAUUAAGAAAUGAAAACGCGAGUCAAGGUCUGUAAAAUUUUAUAUUUAUUGUAUCAUAACGUAGACUUAUAAAUUGAUUUAAAAAGGUAUAUAUAAAAUAAAACUAAAUUAUAAAAUAAAAAAUAAUCUUCCAACUUUGUGAUUUGUGAGUACCUGACUUUCAAAAUUUUCAAAAACAUAUUUAACUUUUGAAAAUGGUUCAAAAAACUCAUACGUAAAUGAUGAUUGUAAUCUCACUCCUUUUAUUUGUGGAGGAUAAUGAUGAGUAUAUCUCGAACCUCAAGAAUGCUAUUUUCCUCUUUGAAGCUGCAUCGGGACUAAGCAUAAAUUUAAUCAAAUCUACCAUAUCCCCCAUAAAUGAAAUGUGGAUUCUUGCAGAACUGAAGCUGUGGCAAAAUUUUAGGGGAUUUAAAACUAGUUCCUACCCAUAAAUUAUCUCGGAGUUCCUCUUGGAGGUAAACCAUCAUCAGCCAUUUUCUGGAAAAAUAUCUCUAAGAAGAUCCAUAAAAAAUUGAGCAGUUGGAAGUAUUUUCAUACCUAUCUAAGGGUGGAAAAUUAACUCUUAUUCAUUCAACUCUUUCCAGCUUACCAACAUAUCAAUUGUCUGUCUUCAAAGCUCCUAUUGGCAUCUGCAAAUCUAUCGAAAAGUCAUGGCGUAACUUCCUCUGGAAAAAUCAUGGUGAUGAUAAAAUUACACAUCUUCUGAGAUGGAACAAAAUCACCAUCACCAAAGAAAAUGGAGGCUUGGGUAUUUACAAAGUUGCAGACACUAAUUUCUCUCUUCUAUGUAAAUGGCUUUGGAGAUUCCAUGUUGAACAUAAUUCCUUGUGGAAGAGAAUUAUCCUUGCAAAAUAUUCUCAAUCUUUCAUCGAGGAGAUUCUGACUCUUGCAUAAUAUAGCUCAAAGAAAGCUCCUUGGACAAACAUUAUCAAAGGGGUGGACUGGUUUAAUUCACAGAUCAAAUGAGAUUAAUAAUGGAGAAAAUCUCUCUUUUUGGAAAGGCAUCUGGAGUAGUCUUAGCCCAAGAUUAUUCGCUCUAUCCACAAUACAAAAUGGAUCUGUGAAGGAUGCUUGGAAUUCUAUCUCUGCGAACUGAAAUUUUCAUCCGAGAAGACCUUUGCGUAGCUUGGAAAUUCAACAAUGGAGGGAGAUUAAAAGUGUGCUGACGACCCCUAUUGAAAAUAGAGGUCAAGAUCUUCCAUUAUGGAAUCUGAGUACAAAUGGGUUUUUUUCAGUUCCAUUGGUUAGAAAAGCUAUUCUAAGUUUUGAUCAAGAAAAUUUAACAAAUAUAAAUGCUGAUGUUUUCAAAAAUCUGUGAAAAUGUAAAAUCCCAAACAAGUGUAGAUUCUUCAUCUGAUCUCUUAUUCACAGGUGCAUAAGCACAACUGAGGUUCUUCAAAGGAAAAUUCUCACUCUUCAUCAAAAUCCAAACUGGUAUUAUUUAUGUCGUCAAAGCAAUGAAGACAUUGAUCAUAUUUUCAUAAAUUGUUGUGCUGUCAAAUUUCUAUGGGCUAAAAUUGAGGAUCUUCUUCAAUAGCCAAACCAGCUUCUAAAUGUUUCUUCUCUAUGCGCCGAUCUUUGCUCUAUUACGCAGAGAAAACAAAAAGUAUCAUAACAUUCAAUACCAUUUCAGCUGCUCUUUGGUUCGUUCGGCUGGAAAGAAACAAUCCUAUUUUCAAAGGGAAAGACAAACUACAAACUUUAUGAUACAAUUUUGAUAAUUAAGACUAAAAUAAAGAGUCAUAAUAAAGCUGACAUGAUAAUUAUAAAUAACCAAAAUAAUACCAUAACGUUGUUGACCUUUAAAAUUUUAGUUUAAAGAAGGGAGAGUUUUAUUCUAAAGUCUACCAUACGCAUGAGCUUUACUCUUAUCCCAAUUAUUAGUAUUAAAUAAUUAACUAAUUAUUAUAAAUGCAUUCACAUUCCUCUCAUCCACAAUAAUAAUAUUUGUAACACAAUAAUAUUGUUUUUUUUUUUUAUUUCCUCCUAUAGUUUUCUACUAAUUCUUUUUAUUUUUCUAAAAAGAUGUAACUUAUUAUACACCAACAAGUGGACCGUUUAACCCAUAGAAGACAAAGAUUUAUGGCCAAAAAUUUUUUAAAUCAAUAUAGAGAAUUCAAAAACUUACUCUCGGAUAUAAAUAAUCAAAUUAAAUUUAGAAAAAUCUUGGUAAUUAACUUUGAAAAAAGUUAUUUAUAUAAAGUCGACAAAUAAUAAAUGGUUAGAUUGUUCAAACAUAGUAUGGAAAGAGGCCGGCCACAUUACUUUUAUUUAUUUAGUAACCAUUAACUAGUUUGAUUAUCUUAAUAAACAAUAUUUAUGUGUAUGCUCAUGUUCACAUGGAUGUCUAUGUGAACAUGUAAUUUGUGUGGGUGUGUGUGGAACAUGUAAAUAGAUAUAGUUUUAACAUUUUAAUAAAUAAUAUUUUUUAUGAAUAAUAUUUGUGUGGCAUUCAUACGCACAUGGAUGUCUGUAUGAACAUGUAAACAGAUCUCUUAUGACAAUCUUACAUUUUGUGAAUGUUCAACGAUCAUCGUUGAUGUAGAGUUGUUGAGUAAUAUAAAUAAUAAUAUUAUUUUUAAUAAAAAGAUACGUUAGAUCAAUAGAUGCACCAGAUAGUUUCACUAGGUAAAUAUCCCUUAGUUCCAUCAUCAUUUUCACUUCAUUACAAUAAAGAUCUGUAAAUGUAAUAGUUGUAAGUAGAACACUAUCUACAUUUGUUAAGAGUUGAAAAGAAGCAAUGCAUUAUCUCCAAAAACAAACAAAAAAGAGGUAGGUAGAAAAUUGCUCAAAAGUUAUAUUCUAUUAGAAAACAAAUAUAAACAAGACAUGUGUUAUAAAUUGAUAUAUUAAUUAAGAAUUUAAAAAGCAUUUCUUUGAAAAGGUCAGAGAAAGGACUAAAAAAUGUGAAUAAAUAAGAAUAAUAUCUAAGAUCAAUAAUUAAAAUGAAAUGGUUAAUCAUAUGAGAAAUCUUCGGAAAAAAAUAGCUAUUUUAAUAUAGGAAUGAUUAUUAUAUUAAAUGGAGAAUAACAACGAUUGAAAAUUUUCAUCGAUUAAUGAUAUCACUUUUGAUUUUGGAGCUUGAUGAAGAUGCUAUAACAGAACUGUUAACCUAGUUGAGAUAUAUUGUACAUCCUUAAUCUCUUCUUUCGGUAUACUUUAAAAAAAGUUAUUUAAAAGUAAAUUCAAAUUCAGAUCACAAUCCCCAUGUAAUUCAGUUUCGUUAGGAAAAAUAACAUUUUAGGAAAGUGUUUAUUUAUUUUUUGUGUUAAUGUUUUCUUUCAAAAGUUAGAUGACUAAUUAUAUAUAUAUAUGAAAAAGAGUGAAAAAAACAUUUUAUUCAAAUAAUUACCUUGGGAAGGCAUUUUGGAGGAGUUAAUCCUUCCAUGGAUAUAAAUAUUGGUCGAAAUAUAUUCUUCAAUAUAUAUUUCAAAAUCGAGAGAUUUGAGAUCGAUAUUACAUAUCUAUGGAUAUCUUUGACAUAUUUUAUUAAUACGAGUGUAGAACAUGAAAAGGUCAACUAUUUAGUUAAAUAUAAAUAAGAAUUAAUAUUAAUAAAAAUAUUUGUUACAUAGUUUUGGAAUAAAAGACAUAUUUAUCAAUCUUAAGUAAAUUUUAUAAUUGAUAUUUUAAUCCUGGAUCAAUUUAUCAAAAGUUGUCAUAAAACGAAUAAAAGAAUCUUCUUUUCUAAUGUUUCGUCUCGGUUUUAACCUCUUUUUUACUAUCCAAUUGAUAUACAUAUUUUUUAGGUCACAAAAAAAUGCAUCUAAUAUUUAUAACUCAACCUUGCACUCCACACAAACAUUUUAUAGAAUCAAAUCCAACCCAUCUCUACACUCCAAACACAAUUUCACUCACACCUCCAUCUUACUCCAAAUACAGACAAUAAUUAUCAACUUAACUAAUCCAAUAGCUUUGCACCAGGUAAUGCAAUUAAUCAAGGAUAACUUUUAUUUUAUUAUCCAUUAUAUGAAUGGACCAUAAGGCAAAGGGGAGUAGGCAACACAUACAUAUAUAAUGCAUAAAAUCAGGCAAAUUAAAAGUAGGAGUUUUAUUAUAUAUUCAUUAUUCGGCCAAGAAGAGUUUCUUAAAGUAAACGAGCUCCUUGAGAUGCUUCCAUUGUUGCUCCAAGACAACAGCCAUGUAUGCAGCUUCAUAAUCGUUUUCAUCCUUAGCCGUCAAAGUGAAGCGGUGGUUGACUCCAUUCACAAUUUGCACCUCACACUUCCAUAUACGAAUGAACUUCAAGUGCGUCCCUUCGUUUUUGUUGUGCUCUGCUACUAUCCAUUCUGCUAAUUCUUUCAUGCGUUGACUUUGAGGAUCCUCAACUGGACUAUAGACGUUGGACACUGGAUCAGAAGCCAUUUUAGACCUUUUACUUACUUGUAAUAUUGACAAACUUAUUACUAUAUGGAAUGCUUUUAAUAGAUAUAUAUGUUUUGAAAGUUUGGUAUUUAUACUACUCCCAUUUAUUCAUAUUCCAACUACUCCUUCCUUUCAAAUAGUACAUAUUUAGACAAUAGACAAUAUAGAAAGAAAAAAAAACCCUCUUUCCUGUGCUUUUAAUUAAUUGGACAAUGUAAAUUCAACUCAUAUAUUACCUAAUGAAACUUGGGUUAUGAUUGGAGAGAAUAAUUUAUUCUAUUUGAAUCCAUUGGAGUUAAUUAAGAAAUGAAAACGUAAGUCAAGGUCUACAAAAUUUUAUAUUUAUUGUAUGAUAACGUAGACUUAUAAUAUGAUUUUAAAAGGUAUACAUAAAAUAGAGGCUAAAUUAUAAUAAAUAAUAUCCCACGAAUUUGUGAUUUGGGUAAAAAAUAACUCUAAACUUUUAAUUUUUUUAAAAAUGUCUUUAAACUUUCGAAAAAAUAUUAAAAAAUACUCAUGAAACUAUUGAAAAGUUUCGUAAAUAACAUUUUUUUUUUAGAAAAAGAUAUGUUGAAUCACUUUGGUGCACUUGGACAUCUCCACUAGGUGGACACUCCCAUAACACCAUCAUCACUUUCGCUUCAUUGAAAAGAUAAAACAAAAAAUACAGGAAGUCGGAAAAGAGGACUAGAGUUAAGCCCAUAUAGAGUUGUACAAAAGCAUUGAUACAAAAAGAAAAGUUUCAUAAAUAACAUUUAACUAAAAAAAAUUAUAAAACUCUCGUUCAAUUUUUACACCAAAUUUCUUAGCACAAAAGACAAAAAACCAAAAAGUUAAAAUCGUAGUUUGAAAUUUUCAUCCAUAUGUUGGUAUUUUCACAUUUAUUAUAUAGGUUCGAUUUUGAAAGAAGGGAUGAAUUGACAUUUCCACUAGAAAAAUCCACGAAUCACAAAAAAUAAACAUCAAAAUGACACUAAUAUAAAUAAUAGAUAUGUUUACUUAUUUGAAAAUAAUGACAUAUUUAUUUACUAAUAUAACUUUUUUUUUAAAAAUUCUGUUUUUAUAAUUUUUUUCAUAAAUAUCCCUCGAAUCAAAAUUUCUCUAUAAAAUUAACACUUCGAUAUAUUUAUCGACAUUGAUAUUUUAAACUUUGUUCACACAUAAAAUUUCAGUUAAAAAAAAAAAAGCAUUCUCCUUUAAACGUACUAAAACAAUAACUAGUCAAAUAAAAAAAAUCACACACCAACAGAUCUAUUAGAAUGUCGUUAAUAGAACAUAAAAAUGUCAACUAUUUAGUUAAAUGUUAAUAAGAACUAAAAUUAAUAAAAAUAUUCAUUAUAUAGUUUUGGAGGAAAAAACAUACCUAUUAACCUCGGUAAAUUUUAUGAUUUAAUUUAUAAAAAUAGUUGUCUGAUAUUGAUAAAGUAUAUGUUGAUAUAUCCAUAAAACUAAAAUCUCGAUAUAACGACGGUCAUUGAUACGUGUUUUUUUUUCUUUUCUAGCUAAUGUUUUGUUUCCAUUUUAGCGUUUUGUUGACUAGCUAAAUCAAUAUACAUGUUCUUUUAGGUGAUAAGAAAAUGCAUCAAAUAUUUAUAACUCAACUUUGCACUCCACCAAGACUUCUUAUAAAAUCAAACCAACACAACUCCACACUCCAAACAUAACUUCACUCUCACCUCCAUCGUACCCCAAAUGUAGACAACAAUUAUCAACUAAAACUAAUCCAAGGACUUUGCACCAGGUAGUGCAACUAAGCAAGGAUAGCUUUUAUUUUAUUAUCUCAUUGUAUGGAUGGGACCAUAAAGGAGACUACGCCACACAUACAUAUAAUGCAUAAAAGCAGGUAAACUGAAAGUAGGAGUUUUCUUAUAUUCAUGAUUCAGUCAAUAAGAGUUGCUUAAAGUAAACCAGCCCCUUGAAAUGCUCCCAUGUUUUCUCCCAGACAAUAGCCUCAUAGUUUCCUUCAUUAUCGUUUUCAUCCUUAACCCUCAAGAUAAAGCGGUAGUUGACUCCUUCCACAAUCUGCGACUCACACACCAAUAUACAAACAAACCUCAAGUGUGUCCCUUCUUUUUUGUUGUACUCUUCUACUGCCCAUUCAGCUAAUUCUUUCAUUCGUAAGCUUUGAGGAUCCUUAACUGGAGUAUAGCCGCCGGCACCAGGCGCUGGAUCAGAAGCCAUUUUAGAUAUUUUACUUGUAAUAUUGACAAACUUAGUACUAUAUGGAAUGCUUUUAAUACAUAUAUGUUUCGAAAGUUUGGUAUUUAUACUAUUUCGAU